UGACCUCGGAUCAGGUAGGGAUACCCGCUGAACUUAAGCAUAUCAAUAAGCGGAGGAAAAGAAACCAACAGGGAUUGCCCCAGUAACGGCGAGUGAAGCGGCAAGAGCUCAAAUUUGAAAGCUGGCCCCCUCGGGGUCCGCAUUGUAAUUUGCAGAGGAUGCUUCGGGAGUGGCCCCCAUCUAAGUGCUCUGGAACGGGCCGUCAUAGAGGGUGAGAAUCCCGUAUGGGAUGGGGUGUCCGCGACCAUGUGAAGCUCCUUCGACGAGUCGAGUUGUUUGGGAAUGCAGCUCUAAAUGGGUGGUAAAUUUCAUCUAAAGCUAAAUAUUGGCCGGAGACCGAUAGCGCACAAGUAGAGUGAUCGAAAGAUGAAAAGCACUUUGAAAAGAGAGUUAAAAAGCACGUGAAAUUGUUGAAAGGGAAGCGCUUGCGACCAGACUCGCCUACGGGGUUCAGCCGGUAUUCGUACCGGUGUACUUCCCCGUGGGCGGGCCAGCGUCGGUUUGGGCGGCCGGUCAAAGGCCCUCGGAAUGUAACGCCUCUCGGGGCGUCUUAUAGCCGAGGGUGCCAUGCGGCCAGCCCAGACCGAGGAACGCGCUUCGGCACGGACGCUGGCAUAAUGGUCGUAAGCGACC
rnacentral:rRNA from 1 species